GACGUAGGGCGCGAGCGUUGUCCGGAUUUAUUGGGCGUAAAGAGCUCGUAGGUGGUUUGUCGCGUUGUCCGUGAAAACUCACAACUCAAUUGUGGGCGUGCGGGCGAUACGGGCAGACUGGAGUACUGCAGGGGAGACUGGAAUUCCUGGUGUAGCGGUGGAAUGCGCAGAUAUCAGGAGGAACACCGGUGGCGAAGGCGGGUCUCUGGGCAGUAACUGACGCUGAGGCACGAAAGCGUGGGGAGCAAACAGG
rnacentral:rRNA from 1 species